UACGAGAGGCCCAACCGUUAUUCGGAUUUACUGGGCUUAAAGAGUUCGUAGGCCGCGCGGAAAGUAGGGUGUGAAAGCCCUCGGCUCAACCGAGGAACUGCGCUCUAAACUACCGUGCUUGAGGAACCUAGAGGUGAGCAGAACUGAUGGUGGAGCGGUGAAAUGCGUUGAUAUCAUCAGGAAUACCGGAGGCGAAGGCGGCUCACUGGGGGUUUUCUGACGCUGAGGAACGAAAGCCAGGGGAGCAAACGGG
rnacentral:rRNA from 1 species